rnacentral:rRNA from 1 species
UACGUAGGGGGCUAGCGUUGUCCGGAAUCAUUGGGCGUAAAGAGUGUGUAGGCGGUUCUCUAAGUUCCGUGUGAAAUCUCCCGGCUCAACCGGGAGGGUGCGCGGAAAACUGGAGGGCUUGAGUAUGGGAGAGGAAAGCGGAAUUCCUGGUGUAGCGGUGAAAUGCGUAGAUAUCCGGAGGAACACCGGUGGCGAAGGCGGCUUCCUGGACCGACACUGACGCUGAGGCGCGAAAGCUAGGGGAGCAAACGGG